rnacentral:rRNA from 1 species
GAGUUUGAUCCUGGCUCAGAUUGAACGCUGGCGGCAUGCCUUACACAUGCAAGUCGAACGGCAGCACGGGAGCUUGCUCCUGGUGGCGAGUGGCGAACGGGUGAGUAAUGCAUCGGAACGUAUCCUGGAGUGGGGGAUAACGUAGCGAAAGUUACGCUAAUACCGCAUAUUCUGUGAGCAGGAAAGCGGGGGACCUUCGGGCCUCGCGCUCUUGGAGCGGCCGAUGUCGGAUUAGCUAGUUGGUGAGGUAAAGGCUCACCAAGGCGACGAUCCGUAGCAGGUCUGAGAGGAUGAUCUGCCACACUGGAACUGAGACACGGUCCAGACUCCUACGGGAGGCAGCAGUGGGGAAUUUUGGACAAUGGGGCAACCCUGAUCCAGCCAUGCCGCGUGAGUGAAGAAGGCCUGG